rnacentral:rRNA from 1 species
GACGAGGGGUCCAAGCGUUGUUCGGAAUCAUUGGGCGUAAAGCGGGUGUAGGCGGCUCUAUAAGUCAGGAGUGAAAGCCCCCGAGCUUAACUUGGGAAGUGCUUUUUGAUACUGCAGAGCUUGAAUGUGGGAGAGGUUAGUGGAAUUCCUGGUGUAGUGGUGAAAAUACGUAGAUAUCAGGAGGAACACCGGUGGCGAAGGCGGCUAACUGGCCCAACAUUGACGCUGAGGCACGAAAAGCGUGGGGGAGCAAACAGG